CAAUGCUUCCUUGGUUUGUACGGCAAGCAGUAGUACUGUAGCUACUGUAAGCCUACCACUGGCAGCCAAUCAGAGAACAGCUGGGUUUGCCAGGCCUAUGGGCGUGCACAUGUUGUAUCUGACAGUAGCAAGCACAGACUUUACUACCAAUGCUUGGCGUUUGUGUUGGCAGCCGGAGCCUCACUCCUGCCGCGGUCAGUUUCCUAUCAGUGAUGCUUGCACUCGCCUGCCCUUACGCCCUCACACCACAAUGACACCACGCUGCGAGGGGAAGGCAACCUGGCCUCAGCCUGCUGUCUCUGCCGCCGCUGCUGCUGCUGCUGCUGCACUGUCGACGACCUGUGGAUUACUGGCGCACAUGCUCGAGCUGCACUCCCACAUGUCAGCUGGUUCGCUGUGGCUACGUGUGAUCUAGUAUUGCUGAGGUGUGCUAUAGAGCAUGGUGAUGUGGCCUAAGUUGGGUGGAUAUUUGUACUUCACUUACUGAAAGGUGGUGUGAUCUGCUCAAGACCAGAUAUUGACUCACAUAGCUGGUGGGUCAGUCUAGCGACGGCGAUGGGCCGGCUCGACUAUGCUGAGUCACGUGGCUCAGAGUCCCGGCAGAGUGGAGGAUAUUUUUCAGGCUGAGGGUCGACGCCCCCCACGCUGCUGCACUACUUUGAAGCACCAGCAAGACCUGGCGUGAUGUGAAAGGUGGUCCGUGUCAGCACACCAGGACGAGACUCAGCCUUUCCCUUCACCAUGCCGACCACGUGCGUCUUGUUGCUCGCCCAAUAAACUUGUACGAUUCAUUUC